rnacentral:rRNA from 1 species
GUAGGGAAUAUUGCGCAAUGGGCGAAAGCCUGACGCAGCGAUGCCGCGUGAGUGACGAAGGUCCUAGGAUUGUAAAGCUCUUUUCUGAGGGAAGAACAUGCCGGGUAGGAAAUGAUCUGGUUUUGACGGUACCUCAGGAAUAAGGAACGGCUAACUCCGUGCCAGCAGCCGCGGUAAUACGGAGGUUCCUAGCGUUGUUCGGAAUUACUGGGCGUAAAGGGAGCGCAGGCGGACAGGUCAGUUUAAAGUGGAAUCCCAAGGCUCAACCCUGGACGUGCUUUAGAUACUGCCUGUCUUGAGUUCGUGAGAGGAAAGUGGAAUUCAGGGUGUAGCGGUGAAAUGCUUAGAUAUCCUGAGGAACACCAGUGGCGAAAGCGACUUUCUGGCACGAAACUGACGCUGAGGCUCGAAAGCAUGGGUAGCGAACGGGAUUAGAUACCCGGGUAGUCC